CACUCCUGCGGGAGGCAGCAGUGGGGAAUAUUGCACAAUGGGCGCAAGCCUGAUGCAGCCAUGCCGCGUGUAUGAAGAAGGCCUUCGGGUUGUAAAGUACUUUCAGCGGGGAGGAAGGCGAUAAGGUUAAUAACCUUGUUGAUUGACGUUACCCGCAGAAGAAGCACCGGCUAACUCCGUGCCAGCAGCCGCGGUAAUACGGAGGGUGCAAGCGUUAAUCGGAAUUACUGGGCGUAAAGCGCACGCAGGCGGUCUGUCAAGUCGGAUGUGAAAUCCCCGGGCUCAACCUGGGAACUGCAUUCGAAACUGGCAGGCUAGAGUCUUGUAGAGGGGGGUAGAAUUCCAGGUGUAGCGGUGAAAUGCGUAGAGAUCUGGAGGAAUACCGGUGGCGAAGGCGGCCCCCUGGACAAAGACUGACGCUCAGGUGCGAAAGCGUGGGGAGCAAACAGGAUUAGAUACCCCUGUAGUCCCAUGA
rnacentral:rRNA from 1 species